UCUGGUGAUCAUGCCGGAGGGGUUCCACCCGUUCCCAUACCGAACACGGAAGUUAAGACCUCCUGGGCCAAUGAUACUUGGGGCGCAAGCCCCUGGGAAAGUAGGUCAUCGCCAGGU
rfam:Desulfosporosinus sp. I2 contig00189, whole genome shotgun sequence.